rnacentral:rRNA from 1 species
GAUGAACGCUGGCGGCGGGCCUAACACAUGCAAGUCGAACGGUAGCACAGAGAGCUUGCUCUCGGGUGACGAGUGGCGGACGGGUGAGUAACGUCUGGGAAACUGCCCGAUGGAGGGGGAUAACUACUGGAAACGGUAGCUAAUACCGCAUAACGUCGCAAGACCAAAGUGGGGGACCUUCGGGCCUCACACCAUCGGAUGUGCCCAGAUGGGAUUAGCUAGUAGGUGGGGUAAUGGCUCACCUAGGCGACGAUCCCUAGCUGGUCUGAGAGGAUGACCAGCCACACUGGAACUGAGACACGGUCCAGACUCCUACGGGAGGCAGCAGUGGGGAAUAUUGCACAAUGGGCGCAAGCCUGAUGCAGCCAUGCCGCGUGUAUGAAGAAGGCCUUCGGGUUGUAAAGUACUUUCAGCGGGGAGGAAGGCGGUGAAGUUAACAGCUUCACCGAUUGACGUUACCCGCAGAAGAAGCACCGGCUAACUCCGUGCCAGCCGCCGCCGUAA